CAUUUUCCUGAAAACAUUCCUCUGUUGUGAAAAAAUACUUUGGAAAAAUUUGCACCCUUGCUGGCCAGUGUCGGCCAAAGAUCGUAUUUUCACAUAAAGUUUGCACUAAUAUUGAGCUGUACAAUUUUCUUGGAGAGGUCUCACUGGUCUGUUUGCAACAUUGAAGAAUGUUCGAAGUUUUUUCAUGAGCAAGG